GACGAACGCUGGCGGCGUGCCUAAUACAUGCAAGUCGAACGCAGUGGGGACGGGUGAGUAAAACGUGGGUAACCUCGCAUCAGAGGGGAUAACACUUGGAAACAGGUGCUAAACCGAUACGGAUGGAGGGACCCGCGGGGCAUUGGCUAGUUGGUGGGGUAACGGCUCACCAAGGCCACGAUGCAUAGCAGGCCUGAGAGGGUGAUCGGCCACACUGGGACUGAGACACGGCCCAGACUCCUACGGGAGGCAGCAGUAGGGAAUCUUCGGCAAUGGACGAAAGUCUGACCGAGCAACGCCGCGUGAGUGAAGAAGGUUUUCGGAUCGUAAAAUACUGUUGUUAGAGAAGCGGUAGCUAACGAGAAAGCCACGGCUAACUACGUGCCAGCAGCCGCGGUAAUUC
rnacentral:rRNA from 1 species